rnacentral:rRNA from 1 species
GAUGAACGCUGGCGGCGUGCUUAACACAUGCAAGUCGAACGAAGUGGAGAUCUUCGGAUUGAAACUUAGUGGCGGACGGGUGAGUAACGCGUGGGUAACCUGCCUCGUACAGGGGGAUAACAGUUAGAAAUGACUGCUAAUACCGCAUAACCCGCUAAGGUCGCAUGACCUGGACGGAAAAGAUUUAUUGGUACGAGAUGGACCCGCGUCUGAUUAGCUAGUUGGUGAGGUAACGGCCCACCAAGGCGACGAUCAGUAGCCGACCUGAGAGGGUGAUCGGCCACAUUGGGACUGAGACACGGCCCAAACUCCUACGGGAGGCAGCAGUGGGGAAUAUGCACAAUGGGGGAAACCCUGAUGCAGCAACGCCGCGUGAGUGAUGAAGUAUUUCGGUAUGUAAAACUCUAUCAGCAGGGAAGAAAUUGACAGUACCUGACUAAGAAGCCCCGG